rnacentral:rRNA from 1 species
AACGAACGCUGGCGGCAGGCCUAACACAUGCAAGUCGAGCGAGACCUUCGGGUCUAGCGGCGGACGGGAGGGUAACGCGUGGGAACGUGCCCUUUUCUGCGGUAUACCCUCGGGAAACUGAGCGUAAUUCCGCACACGCGCUUAGGGGGCAUGAUUUAUCGGAAAAGGAUCGGCCCGCGUUGAAUUAGGUAGUUGGUGGGGUAAUGGCCUACCAAGCCUACGUUGCAUAGCUGGUUUGAGAGGAUGAUCAGCCACACUGGGACAGAGACACGGCCCAGACUCCUACAGGAGGAAGCAAUGGGGAAUCUUAGACACUGGGGGCGACCCUGAUCUAGCCAUGCCGCGUGAGUGAGGUAGGCCUUAGGGUUGUAAAGCUCUUUCAGCUGGGAAGAAAGUGACGGUACCAGCAGAAGAAGCCCCGGCUAACUCCGUG